rnacentral:sRNA from 1 species
AGACACGUGCAAGCCCAAUCCAUGCAAAACACAGGGAGGGCCAUGGUAAAAGCAUCACAGCGGGGACCUGAGAGGGUGAUGACGCUCAAGUUCGUCAAGAAAGGUAAGCAGGUCUUUUGGCCGGGCGCGGUGGCUCACGCCUGUAAUCCCAGCACUUUGGGAGGCCGAGGCAGGCGGAUCACGAGGUCAGGAGUUCGAGACCAGCCUGGCCAACAUGGCGAAACCCCGUCUCUACUAAAAAUACAAAAAUUAGCUGGGCAUAGUGGCACGCGCCUGUAAUCCCAGCUACUCGGGAGGCUGAGGCAGGAGAAUUGCUUGAAUCUGGGAGGUGGAGGUUGCAGUGAGCUGAGAUCACACCACUGCACUCCAGCCUGGGUGACAGAGCGAGACUCCAUCUCAAAAAAAAAAAAAAAAAAAAGGUAAGCAGGUCUUUCAAGGCAUUCCAAGCAUAAGGAAGAGCAUGAAUGAGGCCUAGAAGGAUGCCAGUGCCCGACGUGACGUGGGAGCCCUUUUCCCAGAGUUACAUGCUGGGCCCAUGAUGGGUGUGGGCCUGCAUGGGACAGGAGAGCUUGUUGCAGAGAUGUGAUGCUAGGCUGAGGUGUCUUAUCCCGUGCAGUCUUUCCUGUCUGUCUUCCGCUCACUGGCGAUGCUGGAGAAGACGGUGGAAAAAUGCUGCAUCUCCCUGAACGGCCGGAGCAGCCGCCUGGUGGUCCAGCUGCAUUGCAAGUUCGGUGAGUGGGCAGCCGGCCAGCCAAGGGGUGCCUCAGCAGGGAGGUCGGCGAGGCCCACUGAGACCCUAUCGCCUAUCCAGGGGUGCGGAAGACUCACAACCUGUCCUUCCAGGACUGUGAGUCCCUGCAGGCCGUCUUCGACCCAGCCUCGUGCCCCCACAUGCUCCGCGCCCCAGCACGGGUUCUGGGGGAGGCUGUUCUGCCCUUCUCUCCUGCACUGGCUGAAGUGACGCUGGGCAUUGGCCGUGGCCGCAGGGUCAUCCUGCGCAGCUACCACGAGGAGGAGGCAGACAGCACUGCCAAAGCCAUGGUGACUGAGAUGUGCCUUGGAGAGGAGGAUUUCCAGCAGCUGCAGGCCCAGGAAGGGGUGGCCAUCACUUUCUGCCUCAAGGAAUUCCGGGUGAGGUUCCUCCCAGGUGCUCGCCGUCCUGUCCUCCCUGCCCAGCUCAACCCAGCCCGGGGCCUCACCUGCUACCUCUUUCCUCCCAGGGGCUCCUGAGCUUUGCAGAGUCGGCAAACUUGAAUCUUAGCAUUCAUUUUGAUGCUCCAGGCAGGCCCGCCAUCUUCACCAUCAAGGACUCUUUGCUGGACGGCCACUUUGUCUUGG